rnacentral:misc_RNA from 1 species
AAGAGAGUUACAAGUGAAAGAUAAUAGUCAUGUAAGGUUUUAAUAGCAAGCAUAUACAAGCAAAACCAUUACAAGAUCUUUUAACAACGUUAAAUUGAUCACUUGAAACUCCUACGCUAGCUCAUUAAUAUCAUCAACCAGACCUUCAAUCUCAAUGGAGUAAGGCGCACUUUGUAUGGCUUGAAUAACAUUAAGAGCAUAUAGUAACCUUUGAAAAACCAUUACUCCCUAACCUUGAACAAUUAAUUGUAAUUAUCAGCUUCUUAAAUUAUACAGUUUUAAUUAUUAAUAUAUAAAUAUAAUAUAAA